CACGAGACUCCAUACGUACCGAGUCUCGCGAUUGGCUAUUGGGGUCAGCUCGCGCGAGACGCGUAGCGUGUGGAUCGUCGUAGUGUUGUUAGACGGGCUAGGUUUUUUCGCGCAUGCGCGUAUUACCGUGACGUAACCAUGACGACUACAGUAACGUAUGAUGUUUGCGCGCGCAACUACGGACCAAAACCCUGGACCACGGAGUUUUGGCGGAAUCGCAGGAAACAGAUAAAUUGAACAAAAAUUAAACAGAGGGGGAAAUCAGGACCCCAUUUCAUGCGAGUGACUACUUCAUUAAUACUACAUUCAAUGCGCAUGCGCGAAAAAACCUAGCCCGUCUAACAACACUGCGUGGGAUCAGUCUCGCGGUAGAGCUGCAACGUGUGGGUUGUCGGUUGUUGAACUCUCGCUCUCCGCGUACGCCGCGACAUCUAUCGUACUCUCACCACACAACUCGGCGUUUUGUUCAACCUAAUACUGUUGACGACCAUUUUGAAAUAUUUCUGCUCCUGCACUAAUAAACUAGUGCACACUGGUGCAAUAAGUUAGAGUGAGACAAAAUAUACUUAUCUCAUCCUAACUUAUUGCACCAGUGUGUAGUUCAUUAAUGCAGGAACAGAAUACAAACCUGUUAAUUGCCUCGCGCGUUUCCGGUCGUACUUUUGCACCAUCGUGUCAAAGUAUCGUUACGCGACAAAUUCGAUUACGGCUACGAUUACGAUCGCGCCGCUAUAUUGAUGUUGUACAUAUAUCAAAAUAUAUCGUACGCUGCUCGCUGAAAUUUUCUCGUAAAGCGGAAUCGUAAAUAUUUAGCAAAUAAAUACGAGAAGUAUAUUAAUUGUGUAUUAUCGAAUACGCCAAGAUCGCGAGUAUAUAUAUAUGGUGUUCGAAAAAUGAUAUAUUCUUUUGUGUCGCGAAGUGCCGGAUUUUCGGAAGUGAAAAAAAUAUAUAUAUAUAGAGUGAAAUGAGUAGUGACCAAUUCUGGAAUAUCUACGACUUCCGAGUGCGUCGCGGGAAGUUGCCGUCAUCGUUCGAUGAGACCCUCCGAUAAGUCUUGAAAAAGUGGCGACGCGAAAUCGGAGCAUCGGUUUUAUUCGCGCGUGAAUAAAAGCUCUCGCGAUUCUUGCGUUUUACCGAAACGCGUCGAAAAUGUGAUAAUUAUAACAGUCGGGCGUCGCCACACGUUGCGAACAAAAACAGGAACGCGAGUGCAAGUAUUUCUGAACAUCUACGAGACCCGGGAUGGCAUCAGGCAACUACGUGUUUACAACUCCACUGCUACGCGUAUCGAACCGAUCUCCACAAGCUAAACCAUGCGGUCUUCAUUGGGAUAUAUCUGACGAAGCAUAACGCUUUUAUUUUUUCAAACUACUGUGCAUAUAAAAGGGGAAAUUGAUGGAGUCGAUGAAGAAAAACGUUUCUGCGAAAUUUCAACAGAGAGAUCAGAUUGGAAAAGGCAAACAUCAGAAUUGUGAUACUGGUGAUAUUCAAGAAAAAAUGAAGAAAGUAGACGUGAAAACUUCUUCACCUACCAGCCUGUUGGCCAAAAACACUUUAGUGUUACCUACUGGAGUCAUUAAACCGGAGCGAGCGAAAGCAAAAACCGAAACAAUGUUAUCGUCCGGAUCUGCUACCGGAAACCCUCGAAAUAAAACAGCCUUAGCACCAGGGCAUAGUCUGAUGGAUUGGAUCCGUCUGGGUAACUCGGGAGUCGAUUUAACCGGAGUCGGUGGUGUACCACGGAUAGUAACAUUAUCCGAGCUCGCUAAUCAUAAUAAGCAAACCGAUGCUUGGAUCGCAAUACGUGGAAUCGUAUUCAAUGUUACGCGUUAUAUGGAUUUCCAUCCGGGAGGAGUGGACGAAUUAAUGAAAGGUGUCGGCAAGGAUGCUACGCAGUUAUUUGAUAACGUGCACGCUUGGGUGAACUACCAGAGCAUUUUACAAAAAUGCGUCGUAGGCAAAUUAAGCCGUGGCGGAUCUUCCACGUCGAGUACUACUUCUUCCGUAACGGAAAAGUCGAUUUCGAGUGCGAACAACCGUUCGUCCGUGACGUUAGGUCUAAGCAAAAGUUCCACUGCACAAAAACCAGUUGAGGAAAACUCUUCAGAUACAUGUAAUGUAAAUAUGGAUUGGCGACAAACAUCUAACUCCAUCACGCUUUUUUAUCAAUCUAUACGCGAUUCUCCAGGAGUAUAUUAUCAACUACAAAGGAUAAGUGAUUCAAAGAUCAUCUUCAAGCUCAUUUUCGAAAAGCACAUCAUCAUCGAUGAGCUCGAAUUAAUUGCAGAUGUGGAAUGGCCGCCAAUAUGUAAAAGGGAUUUCGAUAUAAUGCAGGUAGAUUUUACGUUCACAAAGAAGAUUAAAGAUAUUUGGAAAUCUCAGGGAAACCAUACAUUAUCGCGAGAAUCAAUCACGAACAAACGCACGUACAAAGAGUACAAAGUACUCAGUAAUACACUCCUUUGCAAACUAGUUAAUUUAUUAGUUUUGCGUGCGACAGAUUUUCUAGAACUAAUUCCCAUUGGUAGACACAUAGAAGUUAAAAUGAAUAUAAUGGGAAUGGAAGUAUCAAGAUCAUAUACGCCUGUCCCACCGUGCCUUCAUCCUGAAGAUAUGGCGCCAAAUUUCAAGCCAGAUUGUAUUUGUCUAAUGAUAAAGCGAUAUCAGAAUGGCACACUCAGUCCGUCCAUCACAAAAUUACAACCAGGCCAAACCCUUACAGUGAGCAAUGGUUUAGGUGCCUUUGUAAUCGAAUCGUUCGAUCGGCAUUCUGUCAUUCAUAUGCUGGCAGGUGGAACGGGUUUAACCGCGAUGUUAGGAAUAAUUCAGCGAGCAUUGGCAAGACGCAGCGUAAAAUUAAUCAAUCUUCUAAACUUCAAUAAGGACGAAGACAAUAUGUUUUAUGUGGCACAACUUGACAAAGUGUCUGCAGAGAAGAAAUUCAAAGUUACGCAUAUCCUUUCGCAAGGAGGAGAUAAGUGGGAAGGUAGACGCGGUACUGUAUCUGAUGAAUUGUUGAAGGAAUUGAUUGGCGAGUAUUCAUCGGAGGGAUGUGUAUUUAUAUGUGGACCAAAAGGAUUUAUGCUAUCUGCAAAAAAAUGUAUUCAGAAUCUUGGUUGGAAGCCUCAUCAAACAUAUGAAUUCGACGAUUAAUCGUCUGCGUUGAAAGUAAACGUGCCGAAUAUGUUUUUUUCCUUUCUAGAUAGCCUUUCUAGAAAGCCUAAUAAAAGAUGAUACUCGUACCUGUUGAAUCACCUUUAGAUAAACAUUAGUGCAGAUGUUCUGUGACAGCCACGUGGACUGUCAUUAAUGUGUCUAUAACCAAUGUGUAUUUUUCUGGGAUAAUGAAGAUUUGUAAGCACUUUUACUCCUGUCUCCGCCCAUAACGAUACAUUCUUAGCUGCGAAAGAUUGUAAUACACACACAUUGUUUGUGUAGAUUUACAUGUAAUUUUGCAUUUGCGUGGCAAUCAAGAAAUAGAGAUAAACUGUUACGCGAUUUAGGUAAAAGACCGAGAAUAUUCAAUUCAUAUAAAUAUGGAAGAUCUUUUUUAUAUAUUUAAUUUUAUUAUAAUUUUUUAAACUAAAUUGUUUUGCUCUUGUUUGCAGAGAAAACGUUUUGUUAAAAAGAUUAUCUUUAUUAAAAUAAAUAUUUGAUAGGAAAUCAGGUAAUUUUCACUUUUUUAAUUCAUCUUUUAAUUUUCCUGAUUUGUCUAUCAUAUUAUUUGCAUACAGAAACAUAAUUUUAAAAGAUAUAUUGAUAUAUGAUUUAUAUUUCUAUGUUAUUAUGAGAUAUAACUGAUAACUUGAGGUUUUUUUCAUGCCAAAUAUAACAGCAAAGGUACUAAUUUGAAAUUUUAUAUAAUAUAUUAGCUGUAAUUAGCUGUUGAGUUUCAAUCAUACACAUAGACAACGUGCACAUCUUUUCUAUGAAGAUUUUCAAUGCCCAUAACAUAAUGCACAAUUAAAUAAGCAAAUAAAAAUGCAGUGAGGAUAAUUUUAUGAUAUUCGUGGCUUUUGUGUUCUGCGCUUCUGAGAAUAAACGCCCUUAUCUCUGUA